UACGUAGGGUGCGAGCGUUAAUCGGAAUUACUGGGCGUAAAGCGUGCGCAGGCGGUUUUGUAAGCCAGAUGUGAAAGCCCCGGGCUUAACCUGGGAAUGGCAUUUGGGACUGCAAGGCUUGAGUGCGGCAGAGGAGACUGGAAUUUACGGUGUAGCGGUGAAAUGCGUAGAUAUCGUAAGGAAGACCAGUGGCGAAGGCGGGUCUCUGGACAGUUCCUGACGCUGAGGCACGAAGGCCAGGGGAGCAAACGGG
rnacentral:rRNA from 1 species